rnacentral:misc_RNA from 1 species
UUUCCGUAGGUGAACCUGCGGAAGGAUCAUUCUUGAAUGAUGCAUUUCUGGCUUCAUACAGUUGUGCUGGCCUUUUGGGCAAUGUCAACACGGUUCUGGUUACUUGUGUCUUCUCUUCCACUUGUUUACUACCUGUCUACACGCUGUCUCUAUUAUAUUUGCUAUUACACUACAAUGUUCGUUAACAUGUUAUAUAUAUUACUAAUAUAUACAACUCUCAACAACGGAUCUCUUGACUCUCGCAUCGAUGAGGAACGCAGCACAUCGGAAGAGCACACC